AUCUCAGAGAGCGGAAGUGGUUUGAAUUUAUUCGCACAUGUGCUGCUCCUUCAACAUUCUGUGCUACACAACAUACAGCAGUGUUAAAAGUUGUCUUGCAGCGUCGAAGUUUGCUUGAUUCUUUCUUCCCUGUUGUGUUUGUGUUAAUCAUGGAGCUUUCUAAAGCUGAAAUGUUGUUUAUGUGCUUUAUUAAACCUGUCCACUCUCGGUAGAGCUGAUAACAUUGUAACACAUCAGCCAGCAGUCAUGCAGCAAAGCAGUACUGUUACUCGCUAUCUCAUCUUCUUUCAGUACCUCGGAACCAAAUACAGUGGGGUGAUGAAGGCUCCUGCACAUCAGCCUCUGCAGGGAGUGCAGAACCACUUAGAGAACGCAGUGCGAAGGCUGAAGCCUGUAAAUGAAGUGUCGGUGUCCAUCUCCAGUCGAACAGACACCGGUGUGCAUGCACUCUGUAACUCUGCACAUCUAGACAUCCAGCGUAGAGGAGAUAAACCUCCCUUCACUGAACGAGUCCUGACUGACGCCUUAAACUUCUUUUUAAAACCAGAGCCCAUCAGAAUCACAAGAGUCUACUGCGUACGGAGUGACUUUCACGCCCGCUACCGUGCCAUAUCAAGAACCUACGUGUACCGCUUGGCCACGGGAGUCUGCCACCACACUCAACUGCCCAUAACAGAGAAGGAUUUGUGCUGGACGUUAUGGGACACGGAGCUGAAUGUCGACGCCAUGCGAGAGGCGGGAGCCGUUUUACAGGGAACACACGAUUUCAGCACCUUCCGCGCACUCAGCUCAGACGCUCCAUUCAAGAACCCGCUGAAGACCAUGGAGCUGGUCCAGGUACAGCCGGGCCUCUCCUUCAGCCAGCGCCACUUCCACGGGUACACAAUCUCCACAUCCAGUCACAUCCUGGGCAUUCUGGAGACAUCCAGUUUUGGGAGCUCCAGUUUAAAAGUAGGUCCUUUUUAUACAAACAAGUGCGGAGGAUGGUUGGGGCGUUGGUUGCAGUUGGCCGGGGUAAACUGUCUGUCAGUCAGGUUCAGGAUCUGUUAGACACCAGGGACAGCAUGGCCUACCCUCAAAACAUGGCGGCUCCACCCUACGGCCUCUUUCUGAUCAACGUGGAGUAUAACGACUCGGAUCUGAAGCCUUACAGAGGGGACAUUGACUGAUUAUAAGAGAAAGCAGCACACAUGGAAACAUGUAAAUAUAUCUGUAUAGAGUAAAUAAAUUUAAUAUUUAACA